GUAGCCGUAGCGGAAGCUGUGGCUGGAUCACCUCCU
rnacentral:rRNA from 1 species